ACGUCAAGUCCUCAUGGCCCUUAUGGGCUGGGCUACACACGUGCUACAAUGGCGGUGACAGAGGGAAGCAGGGCCGCGAGGCCGAGCCGAUCCCCAAAAGCCGUCUCAGUUCGGAUUGCACUCUGCAACUCGAGUGCAUGAAGCUGGAAUCGCUAGUAAUCGCGGAUCAGCACGCCGCGGUGAAUACGUUCCCGGGCCUU
rnacentral:rRNA from 1 species